rnacentral:rRNA from 1 species
ACUUAAAUUGAAGAGUUUGAUCAUGGCUCAGAUUGAACGCUGGCGGCAGGCCUAACACAUGCAAGUCGAGCGGUAGCACAGAGAGCUUGCUCUCGGGUGACGAGCGGCGGACGGGUGAGUAAUGUCUGGGAAACUGCCUGAUGGAGGGGGAUAACUACUGGAAACGGUAGCUAAUACCGCAUAAUGUCGCAAGACCAAAGUGGGGGACCUUCGGGCCUCAUGCCAUCAGAUGUGCCCAGAUGGGAUUAGCUAGUAGGUGGGGUAANGGCUCACCUAGGCGACGAUCCCUAGCUGGUCUGAGAGGAUGACCAGCCACACUGGAACUGAGACACGGUCCAGACUCCUACGGGAGGCAGCAGUGGGGAAUAUUGCACAAUGGGCGCAAGCCUGAUGCAGCCAUGCCGCGUGUGUGAAGAAGGCCUUCGGGUUGUAAAGCACUUUCAGCGGGGAGGAAGGCGGUGAGGUUAAUAACCUCACUCA